UAAUAUAUAAAAAAGAGAGAUUACAAAGGAAUAAAGGAUUAUCUUAUGAACUUCAUAGCUUACAGCUGUUUCUGCUGUAAGAUGCAGAAGACUCAUAGUUCAGUGCCUGAGUAACAUUUUAUAGCUUCAUCAGAGCCUCGGGAAUGUUUGUCAGGCAUUCAAC